ACAUCAAGAUCCUCCUGAAUGCUGGUGCUGAAAUCAACUCCAGAUACGACAGUUUAUCAACCUCUGAAACACACAACCAUCCCUGACUAGAAGUACAUUGGGUAUCUCUCUGCUGAUGCUGGCUGCCAUGAAUGGUCACGUCCUUGUGGUCAAGCUGCUGCUGGACAUGGGCUCAGACAUCCACACUCCCAUCGAGACCAAGCGCAACGCAGCACUGACCCGGGACUGCCAACAUGGAGCACCGCUCCAAGACAGGUCUGACUCCUCUCAUGGAGGCUGCAUCGGGUGGCUAAGCUGUGUGUGACAUGGCGUCUCAACAGACCAUCCUAAGUGGUGAACU